rnacentral:rRNA from 1 species
AGUGAACGCUGGCGGUAGGCCUAACACAUGCAAGUCGAACGGCAGCACAGUAAGCGCUUGCUCUUACGGGUGGCGAGUGGCGGACGGGUGAGGAAUACAUCGGAAUCUAAUUUUUCGUGGGGGAUAUCGUAGGGAAACUUACGCUAAUACCGCAUACGACCUACGGGUGAAAUCAGGGGAUCUUCGGACCUUGCGCGAUUGUAUGAGCCGAUGUCGGAUUAGCUAGUUGGCGGGGUAAAGGCCCACCAAGGCGACGAUCCGUAGCUGGUCUGAGAGGAUGAUCAGCCACACUGGAACUGAGACACGGUCCAGACUCCUACGGGAGGCAGCAGUGGGGAAUAUUGGACAAUGGGCGCAAGCCUGAUCCAGCCAUACCGCGUGGGUGAAGAAGGCCUUCGGGUUGUAAAGCCCUUUUGUUGGGAAAGAAAAGCAGCAGGUUAAUACCCCGCUGUUCUGACGGUACCCAAAGAAUAAGCACCGGCUAACUUCGUG